GACGAACGCUGGCGGCGUGCUUAACACAUGCAAGUCGAACGGAAAGGCCCUGCUUGCAGGGUACUCGAGUGGCGAACGGGUGAGUAACACGUGGGUGAUCUGCCCUGCACUUCGGGAUAAGCCUGGGAAACUGGGUCUAAUACCGGAUAGGAGCCAUUUUUAGUGUGAUGGUUGGAAAGUUUUUUCGGUGUAGGAUGAGCUCGCGGCCUAUCAGCUUGUUGGUGGGGUAAUGGCCUACCAAGGCGGCGACGGGUAGCCGGCCUGAGAGGGUGGACGGCCACAUUGGGACUGAGAUACGGCCCAGACUCCUACGGGAGGCAGCAGUGGGGAAUAUUGCACAAUGGGCGCAAGCCUGAUGCAGCGACGCCGCGUGGGGGAGGACGGCCUUCGGGUUGUAAACUCAUUUCGCUAGGGACGAAGCUUUUUGUGACGGUACCUAGAUAAGAAGCACCGGCUAACUACGUG
rnacentral:rRNA from 1 species